rnacentral:misc_RNA from 1 species
AUGUCUCGGAUACGGUAUAUUCGGUGGGCUUGGGUUCGCACCCUCUAUGCCCAAAAUUCCAAGCGUUUUGUCGCUAGACAUGCACGACUGCCUUGCCCCUUGCGGCAUCUCCGCAAGGUGCCUGGCGUCGGCAAAGGAAUGCUACCUGGUU